CUAGAUUAGAAUUAAAUAAAUAAAUGUCUAGAUAAGAAUUGGUAGUAUUUUUGCCAUGUAUUUUAUAUCUCUUUAUAUUUUUGCCAUGUAUUUUAUAUUUAGAUUAAAAGAAUUUGUUUAUAAAUCCAGCAUAAAUAAUCUUACACAAAAUAAAAUCAUUAAGGGAUUUAAAAAGUUCCUGGCAGAAAGAAUAGUCGUAAAGAACGUAACUAACCUAUAGCUGAACAGGCAAGCAAAAAAUAAAGUUCAAAUAGCCUUAGUGGACAUCAGAGGGAAAAAAACUGAGAGGUAUCCUGGAAAAAAAAAAACUUUAGUAGCAUCAACACUAGUUUAGUAGCAUCAACACAAGGGACAUAUAGUUUAGUAGCAUCAACACUAGGGACAUCAAUAUCUAGUAACAAUGUGGCAAUAACAUUAAGUGCACGUGGUAAUGUUAUAUGUAUCUAUUCGAAACAAAUAUGUAUCGUAAAAUUUAAUAGUGUCAUUUGCCGGAGCGGGAUUGACACCUUGUAGCAAUUGCUUCAGUUAUCAAAUGUUGGUGGUAAUUUUAGUUAUGCCACUGUGAAAACGUCGAUUGUUAAGUAGACAUAAAAAGUUUGAAGUAUGCACAAAGCCUGAAAGUGUCAAAUAUGGAACCUAAAAAAACCUGCCUCUGCCACUAACUGUAUAAUGGUUUUUUAAGGUCUGUUUGUCAAGCGUCAAGUCAGGUUAUCUUGCUUCUGGUACCAUGUAGUACAUCCUGCUUAAGCAGGUUGUACGCCAUCCAUACGACGUUUGGGCAUCUGUUUGUAAAAUAUUGCUGCAAAUCUUUUUGAGAGAGCCAUUACUAUGGAGAACCAUCUAAACCAUACAAGUGUGGAAACAUGGAUAUUAAUGUGAAAUAAACUGAUGAGUUUAUUUAAUUUAGCUGGUAAAAAAAUGAGUUUUUGUGAAACAAAUUUAAUGAAGGCAAUUAUAGAAUGAAAUUCGUUCAUUUGCUGGCAACUUUUUUAAACGUGGUCCAGAUCGAAAAAAUUUGGUGCUAGAAAUUGUCGAUAGUGGAAGUGAUAGAUGCAUCGAACCUAAUUUGUAAUUAAUUUCUGUAAAUAAAUUUCACUUUACUAA